AUGGAUCCACAUUGUCUCAGCUGCUGCUGUGUCACCAGAGGCUGCAAAGUUCUCAGAGUUCAAGCACUGACAGUCUCAUCUGUGCAUCUGAGGGUAGGCUGGGCCCAGAGGGUAGCUCUGCUUCUCAUUCAGAACUGCGCUCAGCUGAGAUGCUUCAGCCAUAUGUGUUUCUCAUCCUUCCACUACGAGGGUACUAAUGAGCAUUUUCUCCUCAUGAUGGCGCAUUUGUGCAUACGUGGCGGGUUCUUUACCAGUAGUGCUACCUGGGAAGCCCCACUCAUGAUGGUGAUAGAGGCAUAAAUAAGAAAGUAGACCCUAACAGAUUAGAAGUUUGAGCCCCAAGUCAAGUCGAAGGAAAUAAAUCCAGCCUUUGGUUGAAGGGGCUGCAAAGUUACAUGGCAAAGUGUUGCUUAAGAAAUGGAGUCCGCAUUUACCUCUGCAUUCAAGUAUGUUGGACCCUUCACCAUGGCCCAGUUAUCAAGCUCUUUCCAUUCUUUAAAAGUGGUACAGUGUUCAGUCUGAUGUUGUCUGCCUACUGCUCUUCUCCAUUACUGAAAUCCCUGUCUUUGCUUCUAUUUCAAAUGCUGCUAAUUCAGCUCUUGGUCCUUUCUGUCAUACUCUAGAUUUUUAUUUCAUUGAUUUUUGCCACUUCAUUAUUGUCUCAUUACUAUUUUUUAACUUUCAAAAUGGAAUGUGUAACUCCUUGAUUUUCUGAUGUUCUUUUCUUCUAUUAUAAAAAUGUAGGUUUUAAAAGGCUUGUCAGUUUUCCCCCUGGAAGAUGCUAUAGCUUUAUCCCAAUGUUUCGUUGUGUAUUGUUUUGUGUUUUGUGUAGACUUUAACUGUCCUGUUUACAGUACUUGAAGUUUUUCAUUCGCGUGUCUUGUUUGUAACUGUUGGGUGCAGAGUACAAGACAUGGUAGCUGUAUUGCUCAGUGUUUUUACUAAGCUUCUGCCCUCAGCUCUGUCUGUUGUUGGGAAAAGUGUGUCUAAAUAUUCCACUUUGUUGCUGGUUUUGUCCAUUACUCCUUGUUCUAACACUUUUUACUUUAUGUAUUUUGAAGCACUUAUAUUAGAUACACAUAAAUUUUCAGUUGUUAAAAAUUUUUUUCUGGUAAGUUGAACAUUUUGUCAUUUACAUCUGUUAGUGAUUUUUGCCUUAAAGUCUAUUUGUUUUACAUUGAUAGUUUAAGUCUACUAUAUCUUCUGUCUUUUAUGGUGAAUUUUUCUGUGGUCUUUUGUUUUGAGUAUUUGGAUUAAAACAAAAACUUCAAUCUGAUAAUCUGUCUCUGAGCUGGUGAUUUUAUUUAUUGUGAUUGCUAAGGCAUACAAAUGCAUUUCUAUCAUUGAUUAUUUAGUACUUUUAAAUUUCUUCUAUCCAUUUUCUCUCAAGGAUUGAUUUCUUUUUUCUAUUGCUAGGUAGAAGGUAGUAAACUCCAUUUCUGUGACACUUUGGCGUUGACCCUGUAUGCCUAUGGCUGUCUCUGAUUUCUUUGUGAACCAUGUAGAAACCAG
rnacentral:lncRNA from 1 species